AGACCAACUUUGAACGUGGAGGUA
rnacentral:siRNA from 1 species